rnacentral:rRNA from 1 species
UACAGAGGGUGCAAGCGUUGUUCGGAAUUAUUGGGCGUAAAGGGCGCGUAGGCGGUGCGGUAAGUCUGCAGUGAAAUCUCUGGGCUCAACUCAGAGUCUGCUGUAGAAACUGCCGUGCUUGAGUGUGGGAGAGGUGAGUGGAAUUCCCGGUGUAGCGGUGAAAUGCGUAGAUAUUGGGAAGAACACCGGUGGCGAAGGCGGCUCACUGGCCCGUAACUGACGCUCAUGCACGACAGCGUGGGGAUCAAACAGG